GCGAGUUUAUUCAAAACAUAAAAAUAUUAAAAUAUACAAAAUCCUGUUGACUUCUGUAGCUUAUCUUAAGAUUUCACUUGUUUAACCUUUAACUUGUGUUUCCUUAUACGCUUAAACACUGGUUUUAUCCAUAAUGACAGACCAAACGGUAAGAAAACUGUUUCUUCCUUUUCCUAAGCACCAACUUCCAGUUUAACCUUCACUCCACGAGUGGGCGUAACCAUUAAAGAAACAGAACCGAGAUUAUACAUCGGAAAACAUACAAACUAAUACUGAAAUAUAUCAGAAUUGCCUAUCAAAGAAAGAUAUUAAUAUGAUACAUAGUUAGUGCUUGCAAAUCAACACUUCAAGCAAUCAAUACUAAAUAUACAAACUAUUGAAACAUUAAAUUGGCUCUUACAAACUAGGUAGAAGAAACAUGUACAGUGACACUAGAGAAUUGUAUUAUGGACAAUCAAGGAAACAAUUAUAUACAGUACCAGUCAUAACUUUGAACAUACAGUACACAUUUGGAUUUCUUUAAAGGGUACAUUCUCUCCACUGUGUCUGAACAUUACCCUCUCCACUACGCCUGUGAAUGAACACAGAACAACAUUAUCCUCUCAGUUAUGAGUGUCCACAGGUUCAAUUGCCUCCAUCUUCAUCCAGAGGGCUGAGUCCUGUGUCUGUAAAUUUGAGAUGGGUGAAAUCAGUCAGACCCUAGAUAGUGGUGAUAAACAGUGUCAGACCCUAGAUAGUGGUGAUAAACAGUGUCUGACCCAAGAUAGUGGUGAUAAACAGUGUCUGACCCUAGGUAGUGGUGAUAAACAGUGUCUGACCCUAGGUAGUGAUGAUAAACAGUGUCUGACCCUAGGUAGUGGUGAUAAACAGUGUCAGACCCUAGGUAGUGGUGAUAAACAGUGUCUGACCCUAGAUAGUGGUGAUAAACAGUGUCUGACCCUAGGUAGUGGUGAUAAACAGUGUCUGACCCUAGGUAGUGGUGAUAAACAGUGUCUGACCCUAGGUAGUGGUGAUAAACAGUGUCAGACCCUAGAUAGUGGUGAUAAACAGUGUUUGACCCUAGGUAGUGGUGAUAAACAGUGUCAGGCUCAAAAUAGUGGUGAUAAACAGUGUCAGACCCUAGAUAGUGGUGAUAAACAGUGUCAGACCCUAGAUAGUGGUGAUAAACAGUGUCUGACCCUAGGUAGUGGUGAUAAACAGUGUCAGACUCAAAAUAGUGGUGAUAAACAGUGUCAGACCCUAGAUAGUGGUGAUAAACAGUGUCAGACCCUAGAUAGUGGUGAUAAACAGUGUCUGACCCUAGAUAGUGGUGAUAAACAGUGUCAGACCCUAGAUAGUGGUGAUAAACAGUGUCAGACCCUAGGUAGUGGUGAUAAACAGUGUCAGACCCUAGAUAGUGGUGAUAAACAGUGUCAGACCCUAGAUAGUGGUGAUAAACAGUGUCUGACCCUAGAUAGUGGUGAUAAACAGUGUCAGACCCUAGAUAGUGGUGAUAAACAGUGUCAGACCCUAGGUAGUGGUGAUAAACAGUGUCAGACCCUAGGUAGUGGUGAUAAACAGUGUCAGACCCUAGAUAGUGGUGAUAAACAGUGUCAGACCCUAGGUAGUGGUGAUAAACAGUGUCAGACCCUAGAUAGUGGUGAUAAACAGUGUCAGACCCUAGGUAGUGGUGAUAAACAGUGUCAGACCCUAGAUAGUGGUGAUAAACAGUGUCAGACCCUAGGUAGUGGUGAUAAACAGUGUCAGACCCUAGGUAGUGGUGAUAAACUGUGUGAGGCCUUACUGAUAAUACAUUUAGUAGCAGAAUAUGAGACAUGCUUGCUGAAUUCUAACCUGCUUUGCUGGGCAUCUCUUCACUUUACAGAUGGUUACCAGCAUCACUGCUAAGAGAAGGCCACCAACUAACCCAGGAAUUAUCACCAUGAGUUGAUUAUGUUCUGGGUGGGAAAGAGAUUAAAUAGUGGGGAGAUGGUGCAAUAAAUGGUAACACACACACCUAUAUUUAUAGGUGCCAACCCAAUCCACCGAGCACAACUAUUGCAUUUCUCUACAGAAAGUGGCAGCAAAAAACUACAUUGGUUUACAAAGCUGACCACUUCCUUUUUUAAAUGGACUGAAAUGUACUUAACUCUGGUUAGUCCUUAAAUUAAUUGAGUAUUAAAGACGUAAUUUUGAUAGGUUUUCUGUCCUAAGUGGAUGGUUUCAAACAUUCUAAUUAAAAUCACCUGAGAUGAAGCAUUUGUUUGACCAAUGCAUUUAAUUAAUAGCACUGAUAAAAAGGUUAUGGGGUGAACCGGGUUGUUUUAUAGUCUUAUGUUAUAGUCUUACGAGUGUUAAGGGGGUACACACACAUGUCAUUGGUGUGUCCAAAGGUAGGUAUAUUGUUGUAAGUCUGUGUACUAAAACAAAAGCGUAAAGUUGUGGUGAAAUUGUGCACAUUUGUAAUGUUUAACUACUAAUUUGUGUUGGUAUCUCCAAAUUAAAUGUAUACAUUUCUGUUUCCAUUCAUUAGUUUCAUGGCAUUCAUUUGGAUUUUUAAGUGUUGCGACAUUUGCUAUGUCUAGGGAACAGUGUUCCUGUUACACAAUGUUUCAAUGUGACUAUAGUUCCAAACAUUUAAGGAAAUGGAAGUAUGCAUUGCUAUGCAAGCAGGACUUAUAAUCAAUGUUUAAGGAUGUUCUUGGUUUACUUUGCAGUAUCAAAGCUCAAAGUUUUUUACUAAUAUUUACAUUAAAUGAAAGAUAUGAUGACAACUGAUAUUUCUAUAUGUCAUUUAUGUAUUGUGUUGAAUGAAAACCAUCAUGUAAGUAAUUGUAGACCCAGUAGAAUGCAUUUGACUGAAUAACCAGCUCUUUCGGUGGAUUAUUUUUUUCUUUUAUUCAUUACUUAAAUUAAACAAUAGAUAAAUGUAAAAAAAUAAAUGUAUUACUAACUUUUGAUUUCCAGUUGGUCUUCUGUUUGUUUGUUUCCUAAACUUUCCCCUUGCAUGUGAGACAUACAGACAGAGCGUGUAAUGAAAAAGAGAAGGUAAUAUAAUCCUGUCAGACGUUGCUCAAUAAAAGACAUGAUGACAAACAUUAGACAUUAAUUCAUAUACUUGCUGUGUUGUGUCAAAUGAAGACAAUACAUCUGUUUUUUUUAUUAUCAUUAUUAUCACUUAUUCUUUUUAUAUUAAACAAUAGAAAACUGUAAACAAAAUGUUGUUAAUAUUUUGUUUUUGUUACUUGCCUUUGAUAUCCAGUUGUAUUAUUCUGGUUCCUAAACUUGACCCAUCAGAAUUGUAGACCUCCAGGAAGUAUUGUCCAGAAUCAGCCCUCUCCACAUUGGUUAACCUGAAGGUCCCAUUGUUCAUAAAGAACUCUGAUCUACCUUCAGUGGGUCCUUUGAUGGACACUUGUUUUUUUUUCAUGAUAAAUAUCUGUUCAGGACCUUGAGUACGGUUCUUCAUAAACCGCAGGUCACAUCCACUGACAUUGUUCAUUAGCUUAAGAUCCAGAGUUCCACCCAAAGCAACAAAACACUGUGAUGACUUCUGAGUAGCACUACAGGUGGUCACUGUGGAAAGAGAUGUGGUAUAUGUGUGAAACUGACAGACUGGGAGAGAACAGUAUAAUGUAAUCAUAUCAGUUGAUAACGACUCCUGACAUCUAUUUAAUGCAUAACCUAUUUAAUGCAAUUGAAUGAAUAAUUGUUACCAUUAAUUUAAUGAUACUUGCCUUUGAUGUCCAGUUGUAUUUCUCUGGUUCCUAAACUUGUCCCUUGUGUGUGGGACAGACAUACCAAUAGAUAGACAAGAAAACAGAAAAGCGUAAUGUAAUCAUGUCGGUGGUAUCUCAAUUAAAGACAUGGGCUCUGACAUCUCUAAAUGUUAUUUCUGUGUUGUGUUGAAUAUAAAAAGUCUUACUAAGUAAUUGUGGAACCAAUUUUAUGCAUUUUACUGAAUAAUUCGAACCAUUGAUUUAAUGUUACUUGCCUUUGACAUCCAGUUGUAUUUUUUUGGUUUCUAAACUUGACCCUUUGGUGAGGGACAGACAUAGAGGUAGAUGGAGAAACAGAGAAGCAGAACAGUGUAAUUCAGUCAUAUCAGAAGCAUCUCAAUGAAAGACAAUAUGGCAAACAUUUUACAUCUCUCCAAAUAAUUGCUGUGUUGUGCCAAAUGGAAACAUUCAUAAAGGUAAUGGUAGCACAAGCCUCAUGCAUAAAGAGCCAUAAGCAUUUGACUGCACAACUACUUACAUCAGUAUAAAUCUGUUUUAAUUUCAUCAUUAUUAUCACUAUAAUUUUAACCAUAUUAAACAAUAGAAAAAGGUACACAAACAAAUAUGUUAACAUUACUAUUUUGUUACUUGCCUUUGAUAACCAGUUGUAUUAUUCUGGUUCCUAAACUUGACCCAUCAGAAUUGUAGACCUCCAGGAAGUAUUGUCCAGAAUCAGCCCUCUCAACAUUGGUUAACCUGAAGGUCCCAUUGUUCAUAAAGAACUCUGAUCUACCUUCAGUGGGUCCUUUGAUGGACACUUUGUUUUUUUUCAUGAUGAAUAUCUGUUCAGGACCUUGAGUACGGUUCUUUUUAAACUGCAGCUCACAUCCACUGACACUCGUCAUUAGCUUAAGAUCCAGAGUUCCACCCAAAGCCACAAAACACUGUGAUGACUUCUGAGUAGCAUCACAGGUGGUCGCUGUGGCUGUAUUAGAGGGUUUGUGUGAAGUGUGGGUGGGGGGAAGGGGGGGGUGAGAGACAGACAUUUCAGUGCUAUCAAAAUUAAAAACAUGUGGACCACCAUUUCACAUCUCUUCAUAUACAGAUAUUUCUGCGUUUUGUGUUGAAUGGAAACAGUUCUACUAAGUAAUAGUAGCACCAAUCAAAAUGCAUUAAGUGCUAUAUACAUUUCAUUGAAUCACUAUGUAUGUCUGUCUGUACAAUACAAAGUUAAGGCAAGUAGAAACUGCUGAAUAAAGGAUAAGAAGCCUCUUACCAUCAGACAGUCCUCUUAACAUCAGCAACACUAGUCCAGUCACAAUCUCCAUGUGUCUUCACAGAGCAAAAUCUUCUAAAUCCAGUCAGUAAAACAAAGGCACAAAGAGACCCUUGGGAAAUAUUAAACUGGUGACUAAGCCAGAAAGGCGGUGAUUAUUGAUGAAUGUUGUUUGUCAGAUAAGUGAUGAGGUGGUUGAGUCCAAAUGGUGGUGUUGCAUCUGUCAGCAAGAGAAGUGUGAAAAACAAUGUCAGGUUACAGAAGACAGUGUGGUGUAUUUUAGUCACAGGUUUCAGUUGCACAUUUGUUUACAUAGAUUACCACUUCC
rnacentral:lncRNA from 1 species